CAGUCUCUGUAUUGGUAACAUGAAAGUAGUUGGCAUGACUUUAAUAUAACAUCAGGAACAUUGUGGCAAAGUAAACACGGGAAAGCAAAGCUGUUCAGCUAGAUUGUGCUGGCACGCAUCGUGUUCUAAAUGGGUUCCAAACAUAGAGGAAGACACAGUUCUUACCCUGAAGAAUGUAAAAACAAAGAAACGGAUCUUUGCUUCAGUGGGAAUUUUUCAGCCAACUGUAGUCUCAAAAUUAAUAAUCUUCAACUCGUCUCACUACAUUUUCAAGAGCCUGAUGUAUCUAUCCUCACUGGAGCACUGAAAUCAGGGAGAGGUUUGCAUGCGUAAACAUGACUGGACACCAGGUUGUUGUCAAAGAGGACAGAGAGAGAGGCUAUUCUUCUCUUUCUCAAGCCACUUCGGAAGAAAUGUAAAGUUUAAAAUUUUUACCAAGAGAAAAGUUCAGUUCAAUAAAUGCAGGAGGUAGCAUGUCCAGUGAUAAGAGUAAGGGACUGUGUUUGUUUUCCUGAUUGUCACUGACUCACUGCAUGACCAUGAGCAAGUCACUGUGUGUAUCUACACUGGGCUUUUCCAGCAUUGCUGCCACCAGUUCAUCUCCCCUGGCUACUGCAGUGCAGGGAGCAGUAGUGUAUAGAGGGGUCUGGGCAGCCACCAGUGUUUCAACCACUUUGUGGUUUCAGGUUACUCAGAGCAGGCCAGCAGAUUUUGGGGCUUUGCAGUGGGUCAUCUUCCAGGUGGAAGAGAAAUUAGUCACAUAGGCCCAGCAUAGUUUCUUCUAGUCUCUUUUGAUUCACAGAAUGUACACAAGACCUUCUUUUCCUUGACACAGAGAUGGUAAAAAAAUAACACCAGAACUGCACACAGGUAUGCUAUUUGCAGAAAUCCCACCUAGGACACCACUGUGUUCACCCUGGUAGUCAGAAAACAGCUUCCUUUCAAACCUCUGGGACCCUUCCACCUCGCAAGGUCCUAGACCCCAGGCUCCAGCCCAAACCCCGAAGUCCUACACAGUAAUGAAACAGCCCUGCAGCCUGAGCCCCACAAAGCCCUAGUUAGCUGGCAUGGGCCAGCCGUAGUUGUCUAGUUGCUAUGCAGACAUACCCUUAGUCUCUCUGUGCUACUUUCAGCACACUGGUCUUGUCCACACCAGGGAAUCUUACCAAAAGAUACUGCUUCCACUGAUUCAGCUGCACCGGUGUUGGUGGACGCUAUUGUGUAGAAAAGUCUUGGUGGCACUAAACAGUUUUAAUUGACAUGGUGAUAAAAAUAGCGGUCUACAGCCUUGUCUACACUAGGGAUUCAACAGGUACUUCCGUCAAUUCAGCUGAACCAGUAGUAGCUCAGAGAGAAUAUUUGGAAAUAUUCCCUAGUGUAGACACGGCCUAACUGUGUCCUGCCAACUUUCAUUUUAUCCAGUAACAACACAGGUGGCUGUUCAAAGGUAAAUUAGUGGGAAACUAGAGCUAAAGAUCAUU